rnacentral:rRNA from 1 species
UACGGAGGGUGCUAGCGUUGUUCGGAAUUACUGGGCGUAAAGCGCACGUAGGCGGCUUUGUAAGUUAGAGGUGAAAGCCUGGGGCUCAACUCCAGAAUUGCCUUUAAGACUGCAUCGCUUGAAUCAUGGAGAGGCGAGUGGAAUUCCGAGUGUAGAGGUGAAAUUCGUAGAUAUUCGGAAGAACACCAGUGGCGAAGGCGGCUCGCUGGACAUGUAUUGACGCUGAGGUGCGAAAGCGUGGGGAGCAAACAGG